GAUGAACGCUGGCGGCGUGCUUAACACAUGCAAGUCGAACGGAAAGGCCCAAGCUUGCUUGGGUACUCGAGUGGCGGACGGGUGAGUAACACGUGGGUGAUCUGCCCUGCACUUCGGGAUAAGCCUGGGAAACUGGGUCUAAUACCGGAUAGGACCACUUCUUGGAUGUUGUGGUGGAAAGUUUUUUCGGUGUGGGAUGAGCUCGCGGCCUAUCAGCUUGUUGGUGGGGUAAUGGCCUACCAAGGCGUCGACGGGUAGCCGGCCUGAGAGGGUGUACGGCAACAGUGGGACUGAGAUACGGCCCAGACUCCUACGGGAGGCAGCAGUGGGGAAGAUUGAACAAUGGGAGCAAGCCUGAUGCAGCGACGCCGCGUGGGGGAUGACGGCCUUCGGGUUGUAAACUCAUUUCGCUAGGGACGAAGCGUUUUGUGACGGUACCUGGAGAAGAAGCACCGGCUAACUACGUG
rnacentral:rRNA from 1 species